rnacentral:rRNA from 1 species
GAUGAACGCUGGCGGCGUGCCUAAUACAUGCAAGUCGAGCGAACAGACGAGGAGCUUGCUCCUCUGACGUUAGCGGCGGACGGGUGAGUAACACGUGGAUAACCUACCUAUAAGACUGGGAUAACUUCGGGAAACCGGAGCUAAUACCGGAUAAUAUAUUGAACCGCAUGGUUCAAUAGUGAAAGACGGUUUUGCUGUCACUUAUAGAUGGAUCCGCGCCGCAUUAGCUAGUUGGUAAGGUAACGGCUUACCAAGGCAACGAUGCGUAGCCGACCUGAGAGGGGGAUAGGCCACACUGGAAGUGAGACACGGUCCAGACUCCUACGGGAGGCAGCAGUAGGGAAUCGUCCGCAAUGGGCGAAAGCCUGACGGAGCAACGCCGCGUGAGUGAUGAAGGUCUUCGGAGCGUAAAACUCUGUUAUUAGGGAAGAACAAAUGUGUAAGUAACUAUGCACGUCUUGACGGUACCUAAUCAGAAAGCCACGGCUAACUACGUG